rnacentral:rRNA from 1 species
UACGUAGGGUGCAAGCGUUAAUCGGAAUUACUGGGCGUAAAGCGUGCGCAGGCGGUAAUGUAAGACAGAUGUGAAAUCCCCGGGCUUAACCUGGGACCUGCAUUUGUGACUGCAUUGCUGGAGUGCGGCAGAGGGGGAUGGAAUUCCGCGUGUAGCAGUGAAAUGCGUAGAUAUCAGGAGGAACACCGAUGGCGAAGGCAGGUCUCUGGGCUGACACUGACGCUCAUGCACGAAAGCGUGGGGAGCGAACAGG